CCUACGGGUGGCAGCAGUGAGGAAUAUUGGUCAAUGGGCGGGAGCCUGAACCAGCCAAGUCGCGUGAGGGAAGACGGUCCUAUGGAUUGUAAACCUCUUUUGGCGGGGAGCAAUGCCGGCCACGUGUGCCCGGAGGGAGAGUACCCGCAGAAUAAGCAUCGGCUAACUCCGUGCCAGCAGCCGCGGUAAUACGGAGGAUGCGGGCGUUAUCCGGAUUUAUUGGGUUUAAAGGGUGCGUAGGCGGCAUUUUAAGUCAGCGGUGAAAGUCGGUGGCUCAACCAUAGACUUGCCGUUGAAACUGGGAGGCUUGAGUGUGAUUGAAGCAUGCGGAAUGCGUGGUGUAGCGGUGAAAUGCAUAGAUAUCACGCAGAACCCCGAUUGCGAAGGCAGCCUGCCAGGCCAUGACUGACGCUGAUGCACGAAAGCGUGGGGAUCGAACAGGAUUAGAUACCCGGGUAGUC
rnacentral:rRNA from 1 species